AACCAAUGGCUCCAGUCUGAUUUAAACAUGGGUCCGUGCUCACACACUCAAUACCUACCCUCUGUGCUCACAAGUCCUGUGUGAGUAAGACUCCAAAUUAUUCUGUCUUGUUUUACUCAAUGGUAUGCUCUACCUUAUUAUAGAGUAUACCAUGUAUUGAGACAAGAAUGCCAGUCAUUCUGAGAAACAAAAUGCAACCAUUAGUUGUCAUUUUAAUUAGUGACGAAUAGUUGUGUCAAUCAUCAAACAUGCUUGUAUAAUUGGAUGAGAAGAGGUGUAACACGGGCCAAUGAUGACGAGGUUUCGGGAUUAUAAGUCACGGACGAUGACUACGUCACUAGAGGUCUGAGGUCCAUAGCAGAAGAUGCCUCAUGUGACCCUCUCAUGCAGGGGUUGCAUGUCAGGCAUGUGCAUACAGUAGAUAUUAGCCAUGCACUCUCACCAUUUCAUAGUAGAUCACAGAAUCAAGAUACAAAUCUCCAUGCACGGAAAGGAUUUAAGGCAUUGAUCAAUCCUGAACAUAAAUAUUUGGCCAUCAAUGAUAUUUACGCACACACUGAAAAAUCUAUUCAGAAUGACUUACACAAAGGUUUAUAUAACCUUUAUCAAAGGUAAUUUAUAUAGUAAGAUUCAUGGCUGAAGUCUUCAUGAUGGUCAAGGCCUUAAUUUUUAAAAUUAUCAAUUUUUUUCUUUUCUUUUUUUUUAACUUGAAUUUUUUUUUAAUGAAAACUAUCAUGACAAUUUGUCUCUUAAAUGAAAGGAGAAAUGUAAAACUAAAUGGACAAAUAUCAACCUUUUUAUUAUCUUUGCUGUUGUGCCCUCCCUGGAUGGGUGCUGGCACAUGAUGUCUUGCCUGCUGGUCCGUGGUUGCACUCUCACCAUGUGGAUGGAGCUCGGCAGCUGAAAAUGCAUUCUUCCACCAAGAUGAUUUACACAGCCUAGCUGGAUCAGGAGCCCCCUAAUAAGCUGCUUCAGAUUGUAAUAUAGACACAGUAAUGUAUGCCUGCAGGAUGAGUCCCACCUUCUUCAUUAGUCUUGAGGUUUGAGAUUCCCUGUUUGUGUCUGCAGGAUUCAGAUAGUAAUGGAUAUCCUGCAAGUCGGCUUCGUAGAGUCUCCCUUGAAAGUGGACCUCAUGAUCUAGCCUUUAUGUCCGUGGAUUGACACUGUGAUGGAUUCCCCCCAAGUUCAUUUAGAUAUUCUCUCUUAUUCAUAAAUGUCACGGUCAGCUCUGUUCUUAUAGAUACCAGAAUGGAUACCCCUAAGCUGAUGUAUAUACACCCUUCCUCGGUUGUGAGAUUCCUGCUCUGGUGGUUGUAGUCAUAAGAUAUACAUCGUUGCGUACACCUUGGUUGUGGGCACGCACACUACUGUUGAAUUACCACCUUGUCCAAGUGGAUGGAUGCCCUCAAUGGGAUUGGCACUUUCUCCAUUGCUCCUGCACUCUGUUAUCAGCACUUCGGGUUCAUAAUGUACACACAGCAAUGGAUUUUCUGCAGCUGAUUUUCUAUAUUCUGUUUUCUUCGGAACAGAUGCCUUCCUCACUGGUCACCAGGUUCAAGGUCCCUCAUAUGUGUCAGGUGCAUAGUCACCAACAAAGGCCAACUUCACAUCAAUGGGUGGAUCGUACCUCGGCCUAAGCUCCAGGAUUGAUUGUGCUGUUAGAGUCACAGCUACAACCGGCUCAGGGAACCCAGUGGAAGAGGAGGUGGAGUGUGAGAGCCAAUUGGAAUGGAAGACAGUGAGGAAACAAGGCCUUCGAGACACAAGAGGACUGCUGAGCUCACAAAGACUGAGGCAGCACCCUCAGGACCUGCACAGGUCUAAGCUUGAUGCGAUCUGAGUACUGAGAGGGCAACUGGACACAAUUCUAUAUUGAUAACCCAGAAGCUUUCUCCAGUUGAUAAACUCUUUCAAAGGAAAAACUUGUUUUCUACCAUGGAGUGACACUGGAUAUAGAAACUACCGUUAACAGCAGACUCCAUGGCUCAGACUUCCAAUACAAUAUGAACUCAGUUGCAAUUUUUUGCAAGGUUUUUCGACUCAUAGUUCUUUGUCUGGGUACUUUUUCACCCUACAGAGAAUUUCUGUAUAUAUUAUCGUUUCUGAUUCUAGUGUUUUGAAUUUUCGCUGGGUCUAAAUAUCUCUGUCUCAGUGUCAGUAUGUGUUUCUCAUGAUUUUUCUUUGCUUCUCUUUUUCCUAUUCUUUGCUUGUAUUCCCUGGUUUGUGUUUGAGUGUCUGGGAACUCUGAGGGUCUGGUUGGUGAUAUUGUUGUUCUUCCUAUGGGGUUGAAAACCCCUUCAGCUCCUUCAGCCUUUCACUAAGUCCUCCAUUAUUAUGAUUCCUAUGCUCAGUCCAGUGGUUGGAUGUGAGCCCCCCCCCCCCUCUGCAUUUGUCAGGCUCCGGCAGAGCCUCUAAGGAGAUAGCUAUAUUAGGCUCUUGUCAGCUUUGUUUGUUUUUAUUCUGUCUUCUCUAUACUGUUUAUUUUAGAUAACUGUGUUUAUUCUAAUGUAUGAAUGAAUAAAUGGGUGUGUGUUUGGGUGGGUGGGGAAUUGGGGAGGGUGGGGGUGGAUGUGGGAGGGGAAACUGUAACACAAAUACAUUGUAUAAAAGUACAUUUUAAUAAAUGUAUUUCUUCUAUGACUAA
rnacentral:lncRNA from 1 species